rnacentral:rRNA from 1 species
GACGAACGCUGGCGGCGUGCUUAACACAUGCAAGUCGAACGGAAAGGCCUCAGCUUGCUGGGGUACUCGAGUGGCGAACGGGUGAGUAACACGUGGGUGAUCUGCCUGCACUCUGGGAUAAGCUUGGGAAACUGGGUCUAAUACCGGAUAUGAACUGCCUUUAGUGUGGUGGUUGGAAAGUUUUUUCGGUGCAAGAUGAGCUCGCGGCCUAUCAGCUUGUUGGUGGGGUAAUGGCCUACCAAGGCGUCGACGGGUAGCCGGCCUGAGAGGGUGUACGGCCACAUUGGGACUGAGAUACGGCCCAGACUCCUACGGGAGGCAGCAGUGGGGAAUAUUGCACAAUGGGCGGAAGCCUGAUGCAGCGACGCCGCGUGGGGGAUGACGGCCUUCGGGUUGUAAACUCCUUUCGACAGGGACGAAGCUUUUUGUGACGGUACCUGUAUAAGAAGCACCGGCUAACUACGUG